rnacentral:miRNA from 1 species
AAAGGAGAUAUUUUGAAGAAUGUUCGAGACCUGUAACCAUUGACCUCCAUAGUAUUUGUUUUUCCACAAUGGAAGUCAAUGGUUGCCUGUUUUCAGCAUUCUUCAAAAUAUCUUCUU